rnacentral:sRNA from 1 species
AUGCUGAAUGGGCUACAAAUGUUUGUUCUCCUGUAGCUGAACUCAUGGUUUUAUGUGGAAACGUUUUGUUCUGUAGCUGGUUUGGCAAGUAAGCUCGGGGGGCAGCCUACCCCACUGAAAUCCUCUGCUUCCUUUUUCCUCGCAGCCACAAUAACUUUGUAGCCAUCCUGGAUCUGCCGGAAGGAGAGCAUCAGUACAAGUUCUUUGUGGAUGGUCAGUGGACCCACGACCCUUCCGAGCCCAUAGUAACCAGCCAGCUUGGCACAGUUAACAACAUCAUUCAAGUGAAGAAAACUGACUUUGAAGUAUUUGAUGCUUUAAUGGUGGAUUCCCAAAAGUGCUCCGAUGUGUCUGAGCUGUCCAGUUCUCCCCCAGGACCCUACCAUCAGGAGCCCUACGUCUGCAAACCCGAAGAGCGCUUUCGCGCGCCCCCCAUUCUCCCCCCACAUCUCCUCCAGGUCAUCCUGAACAAGGACACGGGGAUUUCCUGUGAUCCAGCUUUGCUUCCUGAGCCCAAUCACGUCAUGCUGAACCACCUAUAUGCGCUGUCUAUCAAG